GACGAACGCUGGCGGCGUGCCUAAUACAUGCAAGUAGGACGCAGUUGCGAACGGGUGAGUAACGCGUAGGUCAAUGCCUAUUAGAGGGGGCUAACUAUUGGAAACGAUAGCUAAUACCGCAUACUAGUAGAUGGACCUGCGUUGUAUUAGCUAGUAGGUAGGGUAAUGGCCUACCUAGGCGACGAUACCUAGCCGACCUGAGAGGGUGAUCGGCCACACAGGGACUGGGACACGGACCAGACUCCUACGGGAGGCAACAGUAGGGAAUCGUCGGGAAUGGGGGGAAACCUGAACGAGCAACGGCGCGGGAGUGAAGAAGGUUUUCGGAACGUAAAGCUCUGUUGUUAAGGAAGCGGUACUUAACCAGAAAGGGACGGCUAACUACGUGCCAGCAGCCGCGGUAAUAC
rnacentral:rRNA from 1 species